AGUGACAAAGUUCAACGGCCGCGGUACCCUAACCGUGCGAAGGUAGCAUAAUCACUUGUUCUUUAAAUGAGGACUUGUAUCAACGGCACUACGAGGGCUAUACUGUCUCCUUUUUCUAAUCAGUGAAACUGAUCUCCCCGUGAAGAAGCGGGGAUCAAAAUAUAAGACGAGAAGACCCCAUGGAGCUUUAAACUCACCACACACCUCUGUGAUGCUCUACCAUUAAACACAAGAAAUCUGUGUGCUAGUUUUAGGUUGGGGUGACCACGGAGUACAAUUUAACCUCCAUAACAAAUGGGCUAAUACCCUUAUCCACGAGACACAACUCUAAGAAUUACUAAACUAAUGCUUAUGACCCGAUAUUCGAUCAAUGAACCAAGUUACCCUGGGGAUAACAGCGCAAUCUACUUCAAGAGUCCCUAUCGACAAGUAGGUUUACGACCUCGAUGUUGGAUCAGGGUAUCCCGGUGGUGCAGCCGCUACCGAUGGUUCGUUUGUUCAACGAUUAAAACCCUACGUGA
rnacentral:rRNA from 1 species